UAAAUGCACAUUUUCAGAUGCUUUGAAUUUGAAUGAAUGACUUAAAAUGAAUUUUAAGUCAUUUUUUUAAAAACAGAGAUCUGUUCAUUUGUCUGUUUAUGAGCAUCAUGACCUUAUAUUUCCAGGAUUCCCAAGCUAAACACCUGGCCGAGGAGGGACCACAUUAUUUUUGCAUUGCUCUUUCAGAAUGGUUUUCUCCAGUGUGCUUUAUAAGCAUAUACAGUGUGCGGCUCCCUGCUGUGGAAAUGAUUGGUUUAUAGUGUAGUCUUCCACACUUCAUGUUUCUCCCUCUCUGAAAUGAUGCUUCAGUCAGUCCCAGAGGAUUCAUUCAGCAGUGGGUCAUUGAACAUGACCGCUGAGCCCUGAAUGCUCUACUUAACCUUCUGCUGUUCUGUCAUGGAUGUAAUCACACAAAAACAACAUCAUAUCAUUUUACAUUCAACAUUUUUUUCAGUUGCCAUGUGUAUUUUAUGUAGUUUACAGCCACUGUGUAUUUAACAACAUUGGUAAUCUAUUAAUGAAGCUCUGGAAUAACAGGCACAAUCCUGUUUUGCAUUUUAAUAGACGUUAGGUGAAAAUCUGUUGCUCUUUUGCAUUUUAAACAUUACGUAUCGUUCAAGGCAAAUGAACUGGAUCCAGAUCUUAUCUCAUUCUCUAUUAGGCAGGCAGAUUGAACCAGAAUGCAACGAGAAAAAUAGUAAAAUAGUGAUACACACGACAAUAGUGAGGAUUUUGAUCCACCCAACGAUUCGAAUCUUUAGAUCUAUAGGUCACGUCGUUACGCCAGUAGGUGGCGACUCACCUGAGCGAGUCAUUGAAUCAAUUGAACCGCUUCCUUGUACUGACUCAUAUUACUCGUUCGCUGAAGAUUGUCUUUUAAAACGCGUGACUUGUGCCUUUAAAAAUUAGAAACAGAAGACUGAACGAAUAGUGACCACUUCAGUAAACGUUUUUUUUCUUAAUCUGACUGAGCCUGCCUGAACGAAAAUCGUUGUGAACGAAAACCAAACAGAAGGAGCUGUUUUUUCAGACCAGAUCAACUGUUCCUGAUUGACUGAAAGCGAUAAGCAGCAACUUGUUACGAAUCAUUAUACGAAUAUUGUUCACAACAAGGAGAGAAAGGGGGUUAAAGUAGUAGGCAUAUUGUGUAAAAACGACUAAUAAAAAAUGGCGUUAGACCAUGAAAUUUGUAUAAACGCAAAUCUGACGCUGACUCGCUCAUAAAUUAACGAUUAAAACACGCAGAAAAACAGCAAUAUGCGAUGUUCAAAGGCGUAUGUCUAGUGCAUGAUUAAAUAUAAUGAUUAAAAAGAAGGGGGAGAUUAAAUAGAAAAAAAAUUAAAAAGCGCAAUUGAACACAAAGCACUGUGAACCUACAGAAAUUACAGAAUGAAUCUUUUUAAACGGAUUCAAUAAAACGAUUUGCUGGUGUGAAUCAACCUGCCCACCAUCAUAGCAAUGUUUAGUCAGUCAUACACACAUUACUACUCGCACACACAUACACACGCGCGUUUUUAAAUCACAAAAUGUCCAACCUCAUUGGCCAGCGUCUCACGCUCUGCUCGCGUUCAACCAAUUUGCAGCGCACGACACUGGAAAGUGGGCAGAGCGUUUUCACGCGCACAUUAUUCUUCUCGCAGGAAGAGCGGCUUUCAAGCGAGGGGGGGUUCUUUCUUACAGAAAAGAGAGAGAGAAAGAGAGAAAGACAACACUGUGUCCCAACACUGACCCGUUACCAACACUCCUCACUACCAUAAAUAUUGAUAAGUGACAGCCAUAUCAUUAAUAUCGGUGUGCUAGGGGUGUAAAACGACUCCAAAACACUUGAAGCGGCACUUGACUCUCAUCCGCUAACCGCCGCUGCUCAGUUACAACAACAUCUCAAAACGCCAAAUCUCUGAUGUUGUAGAGAAGGAUUUCAGGCUGUCCCUUCAGAGCGGCCCGUUUCUGACCGUGCCAGCAGUGAUUAAUGGGGGCACGGGCUACGCAGUAUAAAACUGGAUUUACAUGGAAGCUUAUGGCACACAAGUGGAUUAGCUGGCUUUAGAGGUGAACGGACGUAAUUGAUUCUGAUGUGUUUUUUUGCCAAACAGCAGUGGAAAAAACAGUUUGACCAGGGUGGGUGGUGAGAUGGUCGCAUACACGAUUAUGACUGAACCGGACUCUGCUAGUGACAGCUGUGUGGGCUCCGAACAAAUAGCUGCCUUCUUUUCUGAGCAUGAGCCCUGCCCCCUUCCUUUACAGACAGUGUCACAUCUGUAGCACUGGGGGGUGGCAGGGCCUUUCAGCUGUCACGAUGCCGUUCAACCGAGGAUCCUCUUGGGGCUCGGAGAUUAAUGCAUUUAUUUAUCUCUUUAUCUUAAUCAGUGAUAUUAAGAGGGGAAGGUAAUUAAUUGGCUCUGACUCUA